rnacentral:lncRNA from 1 species
GCUGAGAAAGCCUUUAGCGCCCGAGGCUUGCUCGUGCGGAGCGGCUUCAGCACAGUUCAGGCCGAGGGACUCCUCGUUGUUUUCCCAACCACGAGCGUUAUUGCCAGUAAGCAGGACAUCAAGGAUUUGGAAUUGGCGAUGAAGGACCUGCAGGCCACGCAGCAGCAGUCGAUAAAGGACCUGCAGGCGGCGCAGGAGAAGGGCAUCAAGGAGCUGGAGACCAAGCAGCAGCAGGCCAUGACCAGCUUGGAGACCAAGCAGCAGC